UACGUGAGGGUGCAAGCGUUAAUCGGAAUUACUGGGCGUAAAGCGUGCGCAGGCGGUUAUGUGAAGAACAGACUGUGAAAUCCCCGGGCAUCCAACCUGGGAACUGCAUUUGUGACUGCAUAGCUAGAGUACGGGUAGAGGGGGGAUGGAAUUCCGCGUGUAGCAGUGAAAUGCGUAGAUAUGCGGAGGAACACCGAUGGCGAAGGCAAUCCCCUGGACCUGUACUGACGCUCAUGCACGAAAAGCGUGGGGAG
rnacentral:rRNA from 1 species